AUUGAACGCUGGCGGAAUGCUUUACACAUGCAAGUCGAACGGCAGCACGGACUUCGGUCUGGUGGCGAUUGGCGAACGGGGGGGUAACAUAUCGGAACGUAUCCAAUAAUGGGGGAUAACGAGUCGAAAGAUUCGCUAAUACCGCAUACGCCCUACGGGGGAAAGCUGGGGACCUUCGGUCCUGGCGUUAAUGGAGCGGCCGAUAGCUGAUUAGCUAGGUGGUGAGGUAAAGGCUCACCAAGGCGACGAUCAGUAGCCGGUCUGAGAGGACGACCAGCCACACUGGAACUGAGACACGGUCCAGACUCCUACGGGAGGCAGCAGUGGGGAAUUUUGGACACUGGGCGCAAGCCUGAUCCAGCCAUUCCGCGUGAGUGAAGAGGGCCUUCGGGUUGUAAAGCUCUUUCGCAAGGGAAGAAAACUUAGCCACUAACAUGGGUUGAGGUUGACGGUACCUUGAUAAGAAGCACCGGCUAACUACGUGCCAGCAGCCGCCGUAA
rnacentral:rRNA from 1 species